UCUCCCCUUCACAGGAGAAAUUGAUGGUGUGGAGCUCAAGCAUGUGCUCAUUUCACACUCUCUGUAGCAGCUCUGUUGUGGAGGAAGGUGAGGAGAAAGAGAGGCCACUCUGCGAGCCAUGAGCUGUGCGCUCGGAGCUCCAGAGGCUGCUCCUGGGGCAAGUCUCCACUCAGGGAGGAGCAAACUGUUGGAUGCACGGAGGCUUUUCUGGAUGAGGAAAGCUGGAACUCCUGCACCUUGCUCAUGCAAAGCUGAGGUUCAUCAUUUCCCCUGGAGCCAUUCUGGAGCCCUGCUUCUUCUGUAGAGUGGCUCAGAAAGAUUCCCCCGAAUCCAGUGAGACGCGGUGCAGUGCCUGCAUGGAGACAAUCCAUGGACGCAAACCUCAUUUCAGGUGGCCAUCAAACAGACAAGAGAUGCUCACCUCUGAUUCUGGACCCAUAUCACAGACAGAAGCUAGAGGACUCCAGCUGUUCUUUUUCAUCACAUUGAAGUUACUUACCUUACGGCAUGAGAGACUUGCUUGUGGGAGCCAGAUCCACCUUGAUACAGCCUGGCUCCUCUAUGGGACAGGAGGUUGAAGGACUGCGUGGACAGAAGCUGAGCUGGUGGACAUGAGGAGAAGCAGGAAGAGCAAACUGAAGCAUCUCAAAUGCUGGGCAGAGGACCUAUGCUGGAACUGAAGCUGUGGGACAACUAGGAGAGCCUCUACAGGGCUGUAAAGAGAAAGGAGUGAAUAGCGAACUUCUGCGAUGUGGUGGGUGAUAUGAAUGUGUCAGGUCAGCCGUGAUGGCUCUUGCAUGGAAAAUGAGGAUUUAUCUGCAUGUUCCGUGGGUAUGAGGGCAGUGGGACCUAAAGCAUCAGAGUCUUUGGCCUCCGGUACAUCCUCACUCUAAGGGGAUUCCCAAGCACAUGCGAUAGUUCAGGCACUCGAGUGGGCAAACUGCAGGUAGAGCCUGGGCACUCCUGGUGCUGGUUUCUCAACUCUGUUUCCCAAGUGUACAUCAAUCUCAACCUUGAAAGUGUGAAUGGAAGAAGCUGAGUCCUGAGUGAGCCGCUGAUGAACGUGGGAACAAGCACUACUCUCCCUCUGAGGCUGGGAAGGAAAUCACAACUAGCAAUCCAUGAAGUGCUUUCAAAUCCAUGGCCCCUCCUGACCCCACCUACUCAUGGUCUCUGACAGCAGCCUGUAAUGCCCUGCGCUUCAGAGGAAACUCUACUUACUCCAAGAAUAGUAAUGUGGGCCGUGGGAAGUAAUGCGCUGGCGUGAGCUGUAUGCCAUGGACGGCUGAGGCACAGGGAGGAGAAGAUGUGAACCAAAAGGCUCUGCCCUGAAUAAAGUCAGGCGCAUCCUUUGAUCCUCUGUGUCCGACUGGUUUCUCUUCUGAGUCUUAGCAAACAACCUGAAAGUGCUUCUGGAGACAACGUCUCUGCCUGCCAAGAUGUCAUCACCUUGCUCUGUGCUCUAGGACUGCCACGGUUCUCUCCAGCCCCUUUAGGCAUUCCUGCUUGAAGAUUAACCCUACAGUCUCAUGCUGGACAACUUAAUUCAGCUGAGGAGAAACAGCAGUACAUGACAGAUAAGAAAAGCCUGUUUUCCUCUUACGCUUCGGAUUUUGGAUCAAUGCUAGAGGCUGCAAAACUAACCCAAGGAAGGAAAAAGCCUUUGAUUAGACAAUCUGAGUGGUAAAGAAAAGUAUUGAACGGAAAGCGCUGUCAAUGAGCUACUCAAUGCAACAAUUAGAAGGUGAAACUUUUUCUUUCCCUUUCUAAGCAAGACACACCUCUGCUCUGCUGGAAGGAGGUGGGUGGGAGGAAUUUUUCUUGUUCUGGUGCCCAAUUGUCUCCUGGACCUUUUCCAUUUCAAAGAAGAGGGUGACCUAUAAAACUGUCCCACUUUCACAUCACCCAGUGCAGACUAGGAAACUAUCUGACAUUUAAAGGGACACUCCUGGUGUUUCCAGUAAGGAGCUUUCUGUGGCAAUAAAUGAAUAAAGAGGUGCAGAAAAAUGAUAUCUGUGCAAAUGUCCCUGGAAUGUUUCUCUUUGAAGAGUCGUUCCAACUCUGCUGGCAAUGUGGAUGGUCGUACAGCUGAAGUUUUGCUCUGACAGGGGAUCCCAUUGUUCCAUGAGCAUGACAUGAGAAUAAAACCUGAGGUGGUUGGUUCAAAGUGCCAACGUGCCUGGACUGUGCCUACUCCAAUCCAGGACAGACCAUGAGCUGCUUUUGCUGUGGUUCUGCAGGGACAAAAGGUACCACCAUAGGCUCUCUUGGAACGUGGAUUCUGACCUCUUUCGAUGUUAGGUGGAGUUUUUGUUUGCACGUAAGACUUUGGUGGUGGUGUCUGAUCUUCACAUGGGGUUGGAGCUCAGCAGUCGUUUCUGUUCUCAGCUCCACCCAGAAGAACCUCCCCCUGUGUUACUCACUUGAUGGGUGAACUCCCAUCAAGGUGCAAACCCUUAAGAUGAGCUCUCUGAAUUGCUUCAUUAUUUCCCUGUGGAGUCAGCCAGGAAUCCAGCAAGGACACCAACUGCAGUGACACUGAUGCUCAUUCUACAGGGACCCAAGCCAAGAGUGGCUCCUUAUUCCACAGAAGUUGUUGAGCUGCUGCUGAAGGAUAACAAAUAGUGGUCAACAGUGCACUGACCUUCCUCUGAAAUCAUGAUCCCAAGGCAAAGAGCUCCAUUUAUCCAGAGCACACUAGUGCCAAUUGGUUAUUCUGCAUCACCUUCAAUCAAAUCUUGCUAGGAGAGCACCUCCUAGUGAUUUCGCUGUCCUUGGAUGGAUGCAGGCAUGCAGAGAAAACACUUGCCUUCAUCUCACAAGAUGCAAGAUGUGAGCAGAGCAUGGACUGCUGAUGAAUACAUCCUCAAGAUAGAGUGUAUAAGAAGUCCACAUCAUCCUAUUUGACAGGCUGUACAGACUGUCAUGGCUUUGAAAGUACCCUAUGGGAUGAAAGGUUUUCUCCAGAAAAUCUUGGCUGAGAGGUGUUGAAAGGCAGCUGGGUAAUCUACAAUAGCUCUGACAAGUAUCAGCAAGGUGGAUGUGUGCAGGGCUGGUUAGUUCCCCUGGGUCACUCAGGGCUUUGCAAUCCCUGCAGAGUUCUGCAAGAGAGGAUUUUUACUGUGUCUAUGGGGAGAGGGUGCAGAGAGGCCGAAGAAUGGGGGAAGAGAAGUUUAGGAGCAUCACCACUGUCCUCUACUUUACCCCAAUUGAUUUCACCCUUUUCCUUUGGUUCACAACUUUGUUUGUCAUUUACCUGCAGGUGUUAAACCUCUCCUCUCCCCUCUGUUGUCACUUCCCCGUUUUGUGGGUAAAAAUCUCUGUUCUGAGGUGCCAGAACAACUCAGCUUGUGUUUACGCAUGGCCACAUGCAGGAUCGAUAUCUGCAGGUGUGUGAACUGUGCAUGCAAGUGGAUGCAGAUGGUCCGUGAUGUGCGUGGAUGGGAGCAUGCACUAAAACAGCAGGGCUCAUCUCCAUGCCCUCUUUUGUAACUCAUUCUUCAGCCAAAACUCCCUGACCUAUACUUGUGACUUAAUGAUAAUCUCCACAAGAGCCUAUUAUGAUUAUAUAAAUAAACCCUUUCAACAUUAUUACACUGCACAGAGGAGAAACAGAAAGUGAUGAACCACAGAGGACUAGGGGGGAAGAAAUAGUUGUGCAAAUAGUCAAAGAUAUCUAACUGAUCAUAAAAGGAGUAAUGAUCCUAAAUUGUAUACAAACAAAUAGGAUAUUCUUUAAGAUACCUUAUUUGUUAAUAGUAGUAAUCAGGAGGAUGAUCUCCCAGCUAGUCUCUGGAUAGAGUUCUCUUGAAGCAUUUUAUAGCCCAAAUGGUAGUGUUCAGACCUGCAGAUCACACCCAGGCUUAACUUUUCUUACUGGGUGGAUACCAAGAGCUACUCAGAGCUGGUGGUCAAUACAUCUGUUUGCCUGCCUUUUGAAAAGUACUGAUAUGCCAGAAUGCCUUGGCUUUCAAUUAACUGUUUUGGCUCAGUAUUGAAGUGUGACCAGCUUGCAUGGACUGGAUGGUAUAGAAGACUUUUUUCUACAGGCUGUCUUUGAAAUCCAUAGUCUGUUCUCUGGUUGGGGUCCUACAGUGGGGCCUAUCUGUGGGCUUUUUGAAGAUGAGGGCCAUGUAACACCUCAAAGAGUGCUUGGGAGAGGCAGGAGAGAAGUGGACAGCUUCCAUGUGUCCUCUCUCUUCAAAGUGAAGUGAAAUUCUGCAUCCCAGAUGGAGUCUGUUACCAACCCCCCUGGUCCUGGUGCCUUCCAUGUGCUCUUUGUCCAUUGCUCUGGUCUCCAGUGCCUGCCAUGUGAAGCCUCUGUGCCACGGUUUGCUGCGUUGUGGCCAGCAACAGUGAGUGACCAAGGCCAUCAGGUCCUGCUUCCUGCUCCUGCACCCCUACCUGCCACUGAGCUGCUUCUGGAACCUAAGUGGAAUCAAUAUACAACAGCGCACAGCUUUAUUAAACACAUCUAUUCUCUCUGGAUGACUGCAGAAGACUUCAUUCUCCCUCCCUGUUUGUAAGACCUGGUGUGGAUUUUUUUCUUCUUUCCUCACCCCACAGUGUGGCGCUCACUGUGGUUCUCCUGAAGUUCCAGACUGAGAUGUAAGGUGUUUGUUUGGUAACAUGGUAUAAUCCUGACUUGAACUGGCCACAGCAGCAGCUCAGCUGCUUGCCCCACACCAGCACCUUUGUCCUCAGCAGCAGGCUUUGUCCCCAGGACCAGUUGGAAAACCAAGACCUGGUGCCUGAAUGCCGUGGUGGAUGCAAACCUGGAGGCAUUAGGUUGCAAGAGGAGUAGCUGAGUGAGAGAGCUGUUCCCUGAGCCAGCCGCAAAGGGCUCAUUAGCCAGCAGCUAUUUAGGCAGUGGCACUGCAGCAACUCUCUGCUGGAAAAAGCUGAUUUGUGGCGGUUUCCUCUCCACGCCGAGUGUGCACUGAUCAGGAAUAUAAAUACCGUUAAUCCCCAGCGUUAAUACCAGCAGCUUUGAUCAUCUUUCCCCAUUAUCACUCCCUUGCUGUUAAUAAAAGUGAUAACCAUGGGGGAGAAGGGAAUGGGGACUGGACUAAUCAGUUUGCAGUUGGCGAUGCUGUUGGGAAAACGAGACACCCAAGGCAACCUGGCCUCAGUGACAGUGCCUCUGGACAUCAAGAGGGAGCUCAGGAACAAAUUUCUGCAAGGGACUUUCUACAAAUUCCCAAGUCCUAUUCCAAGCUGAUGAUGGCUUUGCUUCUCCAGGAUGCAAAGACGCUGGCCUGUUUGCUCUGGAAAAACUUUCAGCCAAGGCUUUGGCAGUCAAAAUUGACUUUGGAGACUGACUUUGCUUCUUGAACUGUUCUGGACCUGUUUCUUCCCAGCCAUGGAUUGGAUGCACCGUUCGUGUGAUAAACCACAGCAAUCCAACAGCAAUCCCACACUUACACAUCUCCCCUAGAAGGACGGUAAUUCUCAUGGAGCACAGAGGAUGCCUGCGUUCCUGUGUCCGUGAGGAGGCCUGCCUCCAUUCGUCAGUGGAGCUCACCACUUGGGAGUCUGCUUGGAUGAUUAUCUCCAUCUGACAGUGAGUUGCAGUAGAAAGAAGAAUGAACCCUACGGCACCUCCUGUACAGGGAGCAGCUCCUGCGUAGGACGUCUGUGGCUUUGUGAUUCUUGAGAGGCAUCUGUGCAGAUCCGGUCCUUGGUCCUCAGUAACAACACAGGAUCCCAUACAGCAAGGAUGAGGCAAGAGAUGACAGCUCACCACACAAGACCAAUCUGGGUGACAAAGCAGAGUCCUCUCUUUGCUUAUCCCCCGCCUUCCUGUGCAGCAGGACUGCCAGAAAUCACAGCGGUGCAAUACUCGGCAGGAUGACAAGGAACCUGCAGUCCAGAAGAGAAGCAGCCCUGACAAUUCCUCUGUUCCUGCUGCUCAGUGAAACGGUUGCGUGUGGGAUGCGAUCAGCGCUCUGCAGCUGCUCCUACAUUAGUGUGCAUCGGAGGCACUCGAUGGGUGCCAUUUGACCAUCGCUUCUGCGCAAUACCUUGUAAAAGCAGCAGCUUUUCUGGGAUUACCUCCCCAUUGCAUUGCUUCUCGUGCCUGCAGCUCACCGAUGUGUUUCAGUCUGCGGUCACUGCAAAGCCUGCGUAGCGCAGUGGUGCUUUGGAGACUCUUGUUUGCAAACCAAUCAGUUAAAUUAAGAAGCUUGAUUCUCAGUGCUGUGUGAUGACAUCUCCAAUUUAGCUGGUGCCCCAGUGAGGAAGUAAACAAACAAUAAAAGUGUCACUAUUCCUUCUAGUUCCAUUAGACAAACAAGAAGUUUAUUCAGCGUUUUGGCAAAUGAAAAUUUAAGCAAACUGUCAAGGGAGACAUUUUCCACAUCAAAUGUUUUCUGAGAGGGGAUUAUAACAAGAAAGAGCUAUCACCCACCAUGUCAUUAUAAACAAAGGCUCCUGUGAACCCCUUUUAUUAAAGAUUAGCAGCACUGAUUACAGACAUGCCAGGCUGAGCCAAAGGCAAAUUAGAAUAUCUUUUGCCAUGGGAUAACUUAUGCUACCUUCUUGUGCACUGAGAUGAUUGCAAACUCCCGAGAGCAGAAAACCUUCACCUACAGCCAUCCAUUCUCUCCUGUUUAGAAGCAGCCUGGCGAUCUGUCUAGACUUAUUUGCUGCCAGAGACCAACACUUCAUUCCACCUCCUGCCGUACAGUUCCAGGUGAGAUCAGUCAGUCAUGCAAUUGGGAAUCCCAGAUUUUGGGCAUUUCUCAUGGAUAACCCUUAAGGCUACUUCAGAAAGCGUUUCCAAGCCAAGCGUUAAUGAGCUCUGUUCCAGUGGGGACAGACUGGGAAGCUAAUGUGAUGCUUAGCAAGCCAUGUAAAUUCAGCCUUUAGUUCCAUGUGGUAUCCAUGGGCUUGGUGCAGACUUGGAGACCCAAGAGACUGGUUGCAAAGGCUGGUAAACAUCCAAUUCCUACUCUUGCCUGUAAUUCUUAUGGCCCCCUUGCAGUCCUGCUGGAUUACUCUCCAACCCAUGCUCAUCUCAUCUGCUGACUCCUCCUGCCUCAGAGCCCAUCAGACCUCCAGCUUCAGACCUGUGUGCAUUCUUACAACAGGCGGACGCUGCUGAGUUGGCCUCCAGGCCCCUGGACACAUCCUGACCCCAGGACACUGCACUAACAGGCCAGUACUUCUGUCCCACCUUGGUAUGCAGGAAGCUGUUCUCCCAGACAUGGUGUUUGGAGUGAGCCUUUUUUUUUUUUUUUUUUGCUAAAAAAAGCUCACCAGGGAAUGAGCCCUGCCACUUGCACAGUCACAGCAUCAGUCUUUGUUUAUGUACUGAACUGAUGAGCAAUUAACUUGGAGAAGAUACAUUAUAUGCGGAGCACAAGCCUCUUAAUGUGCUUUCUAUUAAGGCUGCCUAACACUUCCUAUUAUUAGACCCCACUUUCUGUCACUUACAACUUUCCCAAAUUCUAACCAUUUAGGCUGAAAUCUUGCCUCCUGAGUGUUGCCUCAGGCUGGCCUGAUCAUAUUUUGUGAGGAAAGUUUAUAUAUGCCUUAGGGAAAUCCCCAGGAUGGUUGUGCAAUCUGUGCUAAUGGCUCUGAAUGACACUCAGUGAGAAGGGACAUGGGAGAGCCCAUAGACAAAACUAAUGCAAACAAGGCCAUGUAAUUAGGCUGAGAUGGAGCUAAGCUGAAGGCAGAGAGGUCUUGUAGAGGGGCCUCUAUGAUUUCCCACUGCAUGCUCUUUGUUCAUAAUAACUGGAAGAGUGAUCCUUCAUUGCCUGGUCAUGCCUGGUUACAUUUUCCUGGACGCAAAUUACAAUACAGCUUGUCUGACCUCGGUGUCAUCAUCCCCAGCAAAUUGCAGCUGGUUCUCACGUUGUUAUUAUGGAGCGCACACAGCCAUCCAGGGGAGUUAUUCUCCCUCUGCUUUCCAUCACGUGCACUUUCUCCUGCUCCUGAAAUGGCCGAAUGCUUUCAUAAUCGUGUGACUGGGGAAGCACCGUGGGUUAAAGCAACAAAAGGUGUGAGGCUUAUAGGAAAAGUGCAAAGGAUGGGGCUCUGAAUCUCAGACUUAAGGGCCAUGGGUAAUGCUGAGCAGCAGAAAAAUUUGGUAGUGAUUUUGUUCAUACUUAGUGAGAGCAGCGGUGAGGCAAGAGGUUAUAGUGAGCUCCCAGCCACCACAGCUUGAAUACUUGCUGCGAAAUGUAGAGCAGAAUGAUCCCCAUUGAGCUGCCUUGUCUCCAUGUCUUACCCUUCCAGAGAUAUCUGGAGGGGGGGACCUCUUCCUUCAGACAGCAGUCUAUGGGUUGUCUCUGAUGGCUUAGUUUCAUCAGGUUUCCAUUGCGCUCCAGCAUAGAUGCUCGCACAAGCUGUGACCCCAUUCCCAGAGGUCUCCCUACAGUCUUAUUAUCUGCGGUCCCAGUCCUGGAAAUGGACAAGCUUAUAAAGCAGUAAAUCCCAGGGCGUCCCCUGUCACUGUGGGAAGAGCUCCCUGCACAGAGGGUGAGGGCAGAGAAAGCCACGGUGCUUUAAACAAAUAUGAAGUCAGAUGCACUGGGGGGAAAAAAAACAAAAAAGCUAAACUAUGCCUGCAGAGAGUUGGUACAGCAGCAUCUCUGUUCCCUAUGUAUGGCACAGCCUGUUAAUGCCUCCCAUAUUGGUCUCAUCCCUCCCCCAAACAAGACGAGAAGCAAACCCAUUAUCUGAAGGGCAUUUGUCUAAAACUCCCCUUUUGUGCUUGGCUAUCUAGGGCCUGCAGCUGUCACUUCCCAUUCUUCCUGUAAUUGCUCCCACUACAGCUAAUAAUGCAUUUAUCAAGAGGGCUUUAUUUAUUUAUUUAUUUUUCUAUCUCCCUUUAUUAUUAUUAUUAUUAUUAUGUAGGUAUAAAAUAGGUCUUUCCCCACUGCUCCAGCAGAAAAAUAGUAUAAUGAAAAGCAGUGGCUGCCGUGCUCUCCUGCCUCAGACUGUUGGUUUCUCAAUAUAUUGAUCCCCCAGAGUAGCCUCUGCAAUGUCAGGUUUUCACCUAACUGUUUCACCCCUUCCCAUGAUAGCUCCUAAAAUGAAGCUCUCACAAUUGGACAAAAAGCAAUCCAAAAAGCAAUUUGUUUUGCCAAUAAUUUGGUUUCUCCAAAGACAUGGUAGAAAGUAUUUGUGCAUUGCAAGGAGUGAGGAGUCAGCCUUCCCCAGAGGUUUCCUGCAGUGGAGCUGGGAUCAAAGGGCCUUGAAUCCCCAGCCCAGGGCUGCCACGGUGGCUGUAGGUUCAUGGUGUGGCUUCUCAGGGCAAGAGGGACUUGGACAUCUUAAAGAGAGCAGCUGUUGAGAUGUGGCUCUGCAGGAUCAACUUGGACAACAUUCAUCAUUCCUACCUCUCUUUCCUCUUCUAUCUACCAGGCAUUUCUGGAUGAUAAGCUUUGGAAAUACUUCUUUCUGGUGGUACACCAAGUCCAUGUGCACGUUAUGGAAGAGCUGUUGAGAUUUUCACUUUAUCAAUCAAGCAUGCUGUUUUAUUUAAUUAACUUCUUUCCUAGUCAAUUUGUAGCUAUCUUUUACUGCGUGUUGUAGGAGUGAUGGGAAAGGAGCUAAGUCACUCACUGAACCUACGUGUUCUCCAGUGCUUUUUAUCUCUCUCAUUUAAAUCAACAGAACCUGUCUGCCAAAAGAAGAAACUUAGCUGUCUCCCAUUUCUGUCUGUGGUCUGUCUCCUUGAAGACCAUGAGGUACUUCAUACAUUCCUCAGCUUUUGCCUGCUAUUUGUGAAUUAAUGGGGUGAAGCGAUUUCCCUGAACUUAUCAGAAAAUCUAUGUAAGACAGAGAAGAGGAAUGGGAUCUGGUCCAUCAGGUUUACAGGUGCUGACCGGAACAAACAAGUGGUCCAGACCCUGAAUGCUUUAAUAUCCAUCUCUUAAGAAAGAGGUCUUCUCCCCACUAUCCCAUGAAGGCAAUGAUCAUUGCUCAGAAAUUCAGCCUUUCGUCCUGAUCAGAGCCCUCUCCAGCAUCACCUUCACAGCGAAAAAGACACAAACCCAACGGCUCAACACUUGCAAGGCAGAGCAGUGCUGCAGCCCCGUGUGCCCUUCGACUCACUCCCUUUCCCUCGGCCAGGCCUCAAGCAGAGCAGUGAUUGAAGAGAGGUGGAGCCCCAUGACUGAUUCCCCCGAGAACAUAACUCUGGUUUCUCUGACACCCUGAACAAGAGCGAGAUGUCAGGAUCCUUCCUUAGGGCUGCUGCAUGAGAGGGAUGGACCGGUGACACUGAUGCUACAUCACCUCUUCUGAGCACAGGAGCUGAGUUCCACGUUUGGCAGCUCCAGGAUGAACCGGUGGCGUUUCCUUGACUCCAGUGGCGAUCGAUUCCAUUUGGAGCCUGUAGCAACUGACGUCCAGGGGAGCCCAAGUCCCACCCAUCACAUGGCAACAGGAAGGUAAAGAGUGACGACUGUGCUCAAACUGAACAGCUUUGCGUGAUGCCUGGUGGCACAUCCCUCCAAAAGGAAGUGGGAAGAUUAAAGAAAGACGUUGAGGCCCUGGAAUGUGCCCAGAGAGGGGCAACGAAGCUGUGAACGGGCUGCAGCACAAGUCUUAUGGAGAGAGGCAGAGGGAACUGGUGUUCUUCAGUCUGGAGAAGAGGCUCAGGGGAGACCUCAUUGCUCUCUACAAUGCCCUGAAAGGAGGCUGUGGUGAGAGUGUUCAAUUCUUUCCCCGUCUCCCCCACCAGCCCCAGCCCAGGAGCGAGCAGCUCCCGAAAAUGCUGAGGAAAUGGAGCUGAAAGCCUGGGGCAAUGGGGCAGAGAAGGUGAAUCUAAAGAGAUGCAGAAAUGAACCAGACAGGGCCGGGAAAUGUACGGAGAACCCACCCUAGCCUGUAUGUGAGGGAGUGCAUACCACAGCGUAUGAGAUCAACAGCCCCUUUCCGCAGUCUCAGUAGUGCUGAGUCCCAGAAGAGGGUUACAGAUUUACAAGGAAUUCAGAUUUUUACAUUCAGGAUGAAAUCAGCAAAUUUUAGAGCUUGCCGAGAUUGAAGCGACGGUGUUUAGCGAUGCAGCCCCGAGCACGCGGAGCCCAGCACCGCUUUGCUCCCAGUAAUGAGUCCCCCCGGGGGUCACAGCCCCCACUGCAUGGGGCUGCCCAAAGCCCUUUGCCCUGCGAUUCUUCCAGCAAAGACACUGUACAAUCACAGGCAGCUGCACUGAGGAAAAUGUAAAUGCAAUAGAAAACACAGACGUGGAGGAGCAUCUGUUCUCCCCUCCAGGUCGAGCAGUGGUCUUGAAAGAUGAACCGGCAUGGGGAGAGCUCAGAAGGAGCGAGAUGUUUAUAUCCAAAGCCAGAACUGUAUUUCCUAUGGUCCCAUCCGAAAAGCUCCAGCUGCAGACAAAUCUAGGGAGGCAUCAGCUCCUUCUGCAGCAGUGACUGUUGAUACCACCUCACUGAGCUGCCAAUGUCCACCAUGCAAUGUGCCUGCUACAUGAUGCCAGAGAGAAGCACAAUUCAUGGAAGGCUUGCAGGAAGGAGAGAGAAUGUAUAGCAUAGAAGCCUGGAAAGCAGGCCAAGAGGAGGUUAUUCCCAUGAUACAUCUCUGUUCCCCCCUCCCCAUCAUGUCAGCAGCCUCUUCAGCUUCACACAGAGGUUGUGAGGAUUCAUUAGUUAAUGUUUGUAAAGCACUAUAUAGAUGGAGAGAGCUAUGUAAGUGCUAAGUAUUAUUAUUAUUACAGAGAGUCGCUGUUAAGGCAAUGGAUAUGCUCUUAAGUGUCAUUUCAUAUUUAAUUAACGUGCAAUAAUUGUCUUCCAAAACCUGGAGGUACAUCUUUAUUCUUGACACUUCCUUUAAAGAGACACUGCAGCAGAGCUGCUGCUAAUGGGCCUCCUCUCUGGCAUAGGAGGAACAGGAUGAGCUGGGAACUGGAAGAAGAGGAAAGGGAGGUCAAUGAGGGACUUUCUUCUUCACAAUUCCACAAACAUGCCAUGGAUCCAUGAGCUUUCUUCAACAGCCAUCACCCCGCACUGCAGGUUGUCCGACAGAAAAUUGGAAUGGUAAUGAAGACUAAGAGAAGAGAGAAAGCAAAAAAGAAUACUUCGUACUCACAUCAUAACAAAUCUUAAGAGAAGGGGAUGGGAGAUAAUGUCACUGCCAGUUCAAAAAGGUGGAUACAAAAAUAUAAUGAAGGUGCCUGUGUUUCAACACGUUGUCCAGAAAGUGCACUAGCAUCUGAAAGUACAAAAAUACUCAGAACAAUCUAGCAUGUUCAGGACGUAAGUGUGUUUCUACCUGUUAAAGGGAAAGGCAAGAGAGAGAAUCCAGUUGCUAUGGAAAUCAGGCCAUCUCCAUGGGAAUUCAGAAAGUAGAGUAUCCUCUUGGCCAGUAAAUCAGGCAGCGAGCAGCCAUUUCUGGACCAUGGCACUGAGCAAUUCUAAGCUGCUCACAGGACAGUUUGUUUCCUCAGCACUGCCGCCCUACCUCAGUAUCAAUGAAAUUGGUGAAAAAAGGGGGUUAUUGGUGAAAUUAAGAAUUUGUUUUGUGGAAUGUAAAGAAGGUUCAGGGGAGAACUGAUAGCAGCCUUUCAGUAUCUAAAGGGGUGGGGAGGGGUGUAAGAAAGAUGGGGACAGAUUCUUUAGCAGGGUCUGUUGUGAUAGGACAAGGGGAUAUGGUUUAAUUACCCCUAAACUGAAAGAGGGGAGAUUUAGAUUGGAUGUAAGGAAAAAAGCUUUGUACGUUAAGGCCAGGGAGGCUCUGACACAGGCUGCCCAGAGAGGUGGUGGUGCCCCAUCCCUGGAGACGGCCAAGGUCAGACUGGGUGGGCUCUGAGCUGUGGGUGUCCCUGUUCAGUGCAGGGGCAGUUGGACCAGAUGGCUUUUAAAGGAUCCUUCCAACUCAAACAAUUCCACAAUUCUCCGAUUCUCCUGCAUGUUUCUGUGGAGGAGUGUCGCGUGUCUUUGCUUUAGCUACAGUUAUUGGGAUAUAGAUUUAUGUCACUGGAAAAAAAGUGGAACUCCUGGUUUUGCUUCUCAGCAAAUGUUUUUUGUUCACAUUAGUUGCUGUACAAUAACAAAGGAUCAGGUAGGUGUGCAUGCAGGAAGUAAAAGGAAACAAAGGCCACAUUAAAGAAUAUAAAAAGAAGGAGCUGAGGUACAAACCCACACCUUGUUCAGGACUCCUCUCUUUGUGUUAAUGGACAAAUAUUCAUGGUGCCAUUGGGGGAUCCAAUUCCCUUGCCAUAGGCAGCAGCCUCCAGCUCUGCUGCUCCUGGGUACCAGUGAUUGCUUAGAGUUUAGGGUCCCACAAAGGCCUCCAAGCACAUCUCUUCCAGUCAGUGCCCCACAGCUAGGUUUACUCUGCUGUCACCUGAUGGAUGAGACUGAGAAGCUUGGAGACUUUUGAGAUUCUGAUGCUUUGCUACAGAGCUUUCUUCUGUUUCAUCAUUGCAUUUAAUCACUGGUGGGCAACUGGUCCCUAGAGCCCGGGAGGUUGGGUACUGCUGGAGUUGAAAGCUUUGGCAUGAGCGCCAGUGUGCAGACGAUGGAAAGCAGGUGAUGGAUUUACAGUGCUGAAAUCCUUGCUAUGACUGCUAUGCAAACACCAUAUAUUAUAGCUGUAAGUCCUGCAUAAGCCAAGAAGAUUAAAAAACACCUUGUAGAAAAGAGCUCCGGUCGGAUAUGCCUUUGUUCACGAGGACAACUAUGCAGUGGUACUAAUGCAUGGAUGUCAUUUAGUGCUGGGGGAGUUAAUGGGGCUUUAUUUGAAUAUAUCUCAGCUGCGUGAGUAAGGCUCACAGGCAGAAGUGUCUGUCUGGUGUACGUGUGUUGGAGGACACUGUCUGACAUUGAUGGAAAGCUGCUUGAUAGAGUUUCAUCUUUCAAUUCAUUUAGAUUUUUAAAGCUCAGGUUAAGUUGCCCAACUUAAUUUGCAAUCAUUUAAAGUAGGAGUUAAGUGAAGGUCACAGGCUGCUCUAAAUUAGAGGGAAACCGCUGUAGCACUGGCAUGCUUUGACCUUUUCAGUGUUUUCUGACUCUGCUGACCAGCUGAGCUCUUUAUAGCACUGUUAACCUGUGAGAAAUGUGUGAAGUGGUCAUUUCCCACAGUAAAGCAGGAAAUUUUGAAAGGUUAAAGUAGCAGUGAAUAUUCCUGGCAAGAGCAGGUACGGAAUCCCUUGGAACUGAUGAUCUGUGUGUACGUGUAUCUUCCUGCUCUGCAGUGUUUGUGUUAGAAGGGAAGUGAAGAGGAUGCAAAGCAGGGCUGUAGGCAGCUCACCCGAGCUCUGCCUGCAGGUUAUCCCAGAAAUCAGCAUGGUGCAGAGGGUGCUCUCAAACCCACAGGAAUCCGUGCUGUCUCAGAGCUAUAAAAAAAUACUACUACAAAAACUCCAGAAGUAACAUCAAACUCAGGACGUGGGGCUUUCCUAGAUCCCAUAUGCAGAACUUGGGGAAAAGACAGAUAUCAGUGUUCCCCCAUCCCUGGGGCUGUUCAAGGCCAGGUUGGAUGUGGCCCUGGGCAGCCUCAUCUGGUGAGUGGCAACUAGCCCACAGCACGAGCUUGGUCCUUUCCAAUCUAAGCCAUUCUAUGAUUCUGUGACGUACCUGGAGUUAACAGCAGUGAGCCCAGACAGUGUAGUAGAUGGGAUGCGCUAUCACAGUGCUCGAAGAGUAAAAUCCCUAUGCUCCAUGCCCCAUCUUUUUUAUGCACUUGUUUUCUUCCUUCCUGGUGUUUACGAUCCAGCUGCACGUUCUGCAGCUCUCUCUCUUCUGCCUUUAAUGAGGUAAAGUGGAGAAGUCGUAAAACCAGGCCGCCAUCGGUGUAGCAUCCUGGGGCUGCCAUAACGAGAGGCUUCUGGUCCUCACGAUACAACACCUUGGUGGCAGUGUCUAGUCCCACCUUCUUUGUGCAAAGGGCCAACAUAGGACAGCCCCUCUCCUCCAUUUCCUCCUGAUCGCUGGGGUGCAAGGCAGCUGUCAGAUAUUCAUCUGGAUUUUGUGGAUGUCACAGAUAGCCAGAGUGGGGAAAGAAGGAGGCAGUUUGCUCUGAGAAACAAGAGGGGCUUUACAUCAUUGCAGUACACUCUAAAUAUGCAGUAAGGGUCAAAAGUCUCUUCUGUUGCCCUAGGACUCCUGACUGCUGCAGGCUAAGCCACCAACUCUGAGAUCUGUGUAAGAGGGCAGAAGGGAAUAGCUCAUUGUUAAACAUCCACUUUGUCCAAUGCAUUGGUCAGGGGCUGACAGUUUCCAUUCUGGAGCUCUCAGAAAAUAAAGCGGCUCCUGAGCAUCCCUGCAAGGUGUUGUGGGUCACGCCAGCCACCUCCAUCCCCACACAGCUUAGAAGAGCACAGAAAUGCCAUUUGGCUUUCCAGACCACCUUCCAGCACGGCAGGGAAAGGGCUGGCGUUACACAUGCUGAUAGCGAUAGUACAUGAUAUGCAGUCAGCAGUUUGUUGCAAUCAGAGCUUCUGCUGAGCACGUCGAAAGCCUGCCCCUUUCCUGUUAAUUGAAUGUAAGCCCUUUGGUACUUCUCUCCCUUUGAUCUCUCUCAGAAUGAGACGUAAGGCUAUUAAGGCAGAGGAACCAGCGAGCACAAUGCUGGCAGUAAUCUGUGUCAGGAUGAAGGGAUGUUACGCAAGAGACCAGGAAUGAGAUGCAGUGUGAUUUUUUCUCCCUCCUCCCCCCACGUUUUCUCAUCUAAUCCCAAGGGGUUCUUUGUAAUAUUCGCCGGAUGGCAACUACAAACACUGGUGGACACAAGGAGAAAAAACGUCAUGCAACAAACAUGUAAAAAAGCUGGUUUAGCACUGAAACACUGCAUCUCUCCAGCAAAACCUGCCUGCUAGCAGGAGAUACAAAUGACUCCUGGAAUCAAAUGCAUGUUACUGUGUUCAGCAUGCAGCAUUACUGCAGGAUUUAAACACGGCAAAGAGGGAAUUGCUGAUCACACUGAAACCAAAAUGAGAAUAAAUGCAUAAUAAGAAAAAAUAGAUUAGAAGAUAAUUACUUCAUUUUGUACCUGGAGCAAUUACUGUUUGGAUUAGAGAUGACUUGUAGGUGAAAUAGUUAGUCUGCAAUAGAAGCUGUAGACACAAUGUUAAUAGUUAAAAUGUCAGUGCUAAGCUUCAUUAAAGGAGAAACCCAGCUCUAAACUUGGUUCGGUAUUUUCUUCCAUGAUUGCCACAGUGAGCACUUACGUAACACGCUGCAUAUUUCAAAGCAAGUUAUAAAAUUAGCUAGGAACUGCACGUAAUGCCUCUUUGCAGAGCUGGAGGUGAGCAUGCAGCACCUUCCAGGUGGUGCUCGGAAUACCGUGAUAUCCCCUGCUUCUGAUUUAGGGAUCUAAAAUUACAAAGCCAAAGAAUCUGAUGCUGGGACCUAUAAAAAUGCCUGUUUUUCAUCCGAGAGGACACGCAUAGGAGAGAGAGACACAGAGAGAGGACACAGUUGUUAUUUCAUCGCUGCAGUUCACUGGGAUUUUUUCUGAACACCGUUCCUAUGAACCUGGAUGGAGAAAGGCUGAAGGAGAAGAAAACCCAAAACACUUCAGCCUGCUUUUAUUUUCCGGUUAAAAAUGAAAGAAGUUAUGUAGAGCAGUUGAAGUAAACACCUGAAUCUUAAAAGACUGAAAAGGCAUUUGUAGCCGCUGACCAGAGCCGAAGAUAGAAGGAAUAAAACUGGCAAUUGAUACGUGCUGCAAAUCCUCAUGCCGAGUACAAACCUGACCUGUAUUUCAGCAGCUGCAGGCACCUUUCUGAUAUCUUCCCAGCAGUGCUGGGAGGUGCUCAGCCCAACAGCAAAGCCACGCACGCUGCAAGUCCCCAGCCUCCCUUUAGGGGACAGAGCUUCCCAAUGGCUGCUUUGAUUGUCUGUUUUCAAAAUACAAUCACAUGUGGAUAUUAAAAAUAGCACCACGCUGACUUGCUUCCUGUGAAAACAGGUUCCAGUGCUAGGAAACUAAACAUAAUUUUAAACGUUAUCAUCUGACUAAUCGUGUUGCUAUUCCAUUUCAGUCCAUAUAAUUUCUCUGGUAUGAACCUGGGUCACUUUUGCAUAUGUCCAAUCUAUUUUAUAUAUAUACGUUCACUCUAUUUGCACACUCAGAUGGGAGACAUAUGCCUCUUCUCAUUUGGGCAGGCCAUAGUGUUAUUAAAAUGGAAAUGUGCGGGCUUUGGGAUCCAACUGCAACAUAUGUUUAAAAAUGAAAGAUGAUUCUUUAGUUGUAACUACCAGAAGAACUCGGAGCUUUUGACUCCAUGUAUAAUUACCACGAGACCUUAACAGCUUAAUUCACCAGGUAAUUACAUGGUUAUUUUUUGUUCUAUAAAAGGUAAAGAGGUAACAUUUAAUUUACAAGGUGCUGCAUAAUCCUGUAAUUACUCGGUAAUUUCCGUGUCGUCACACAAUAAAAGCAGGGGCCUUUCCAUGGCCCAGAUAUGA